rnacentral:rRNA from 1 species
GUGGAUUAGAUACCCUGGUAGUCCACGCCCUAAACGAUGAAUACUCGCUGUUAGCGAUACACAGUUAGCGGCUAAGCGAAAGCGUUAAGUAUUCCACCUGGGGAGUACGCCCGCAAGGGUGAAACUCAAAGGAAUUGACGGGGGCCCGCACAAGCGGAGGAGCAUGUGGUUUAAUUCGAUGAUACGCGAGGAACCUUACCCGGGCUUGAAAGUUAGUGAAUGGUUUAGAGAUAGACCAGUGAGCAAUCACACGAAACUAGGUGCUGCACGGCCGUCGCCAGCU